GGAAGAUUCGCACGUUCAGGUGCCCGCAAGGGCUUAAAAGGGAACUCCCUUGAAAACGGGGACGGACCCGCCGCUGUGACUCCGCUCCUUUUCCCCUAUCCCGCAGGAAAAGGAAACCUCCCGGCCCAGAGAAGCCACUGUCCGAUGCCUUCGGAUGGGAAGGCCGCCGAGAGGGCGGAGGAGUCAGAAGACCUGCCUGAACAGGGGUACAAGAC
rnacentral:ncRNA from 1 species